rnacentral:lncRNA from 1 species
AACAAUUCCGUGGCUUUGCGUAUGAGUUCCUUUCCUCUGAGAGAAUCAAAGAAACAUCGGGGGGGGAUUCUGUGGUGUCCCUUUCUCCUGCCUCCUGCACUAAGGGGUGGGCCAUCCUGAGAAAACAGAGAGCCCUGACGUGAGUGAGGCCCAAGGACAGAGCUGGGGGAGGCUGAGCAAGCCCGAGUGCCCUCCUCCCUGCACCGGCCCUGACAGCCUCAGUGCUCCCCACUCGGCUGUAAGCAGGUGGGGCCGGUCCCAGGAGCAGCCUUCACCCCAUGCUAGCCUUGGGUGUGAUUUCUGAGCAAGCUCUCCCUCACCAGCACACACGGCCCCUCCCCUGACUCCUGCUCUCUCCCGCUCAGAACUCAUGUUCCAGAUGGGCUCAGCUGGCAAGCAUCUGAGACGCGUCUCAGCAUCUCGUCAUGGGCUCCUGAACCCCUGUGCGCAGCAGACGACCCACUGAGGCAGCAGGAGAGAGACGUUCCCCGAAGUCCAGCUGAGAGCAUGGCCUCAUCCGAUCCGGCCGUUUCCUGCUCCUCAGACCCAUCGUCUCUAUAAAGCACCCAGCUCAUCACAAAGGCCAGCUUCCUGAACGGAGCCUUCAUCACUGGAUAAAAAUGUAGCAUAAGGCACAGAUGGCAACUAUUGCUUUUACAUGUCUUCUGUCCUCUGCCUAGUCAUGAUAUUAAUAAACACACUGUUGAGGCUACA